rnacentral:lncRNA from 1 species
UUUUUUGAGUUUCGGUGGCUUGGGUUGGGGUGUUGUGCGCUCUCGAGGUGGUGGAGCGCAAGUUUCCCAGCGUUGCAGUUGUGUUUUUUGAGGAUAUUUUGUUGCUGGGGUAGCUUUUGUGUCGCUGACGCUGCUCUGUGGUCGGUGCAGUGGGUUGGGUCUAGGGAUAACGCAGAGACUCUAAGUUUUUGGAGCUCAUCGUGAUGCCCGUCACGGCGUUCAAGAUGGCGAUCCCGAGGUCGUUUGUGUUGAUGGUGCUCCUUGGGUUGGUUAUUGGCAUCGGGACAUUGGUUAGGGCAGAUGAGCUCAUGCCUCCUUCUUAUGAGUAUGGCAACGAAAUUAUGGCACUGAAAUCCAAGCUCUCUCUUCUCGAGGAAGGAUUGAAGACCAAGGAAGUGAGUUUAUCGGAAAAGGAGUCGAAGAUCAGCGUUUUGGAGCAGGAGUUGGAGGCACUGCGAACGCAUAAAGGCGAAUCCCAGGAUGCUGCUCUUGCACAACUGCAGAUAGAGUCAGCUGAGGCGAAGGUGCGUGAAUUGGAGGACCAGGUUCAAGCUCUUCAGGAGGAGUCUCGCAAGCUCAGAGAGGAGGCAGAGGCACAUGCCGGGGCGGCGAAGUCUCACGAAGAGACUGCAAACUUGCACCUGACUGAGAAGGAGAAGACCAUCAAGGCUUUGGAAGACCAGAAGAUUCG